AGAGUUUGAUCAUGGCUCAGAACGUACGCUGGCGGCACGCCUAACACAUGCAAGUCGAACGCAGUAGCAAUACUGAGUGGCGAACGGGUGAGUAUAAUGUGGGUAUCUGCCUUUUGGUUUGGAAUAACACGAGGAAACUUGUGCUAAUACCGAAUAAGCCCUUACGGGGAAAGUUUUAACGCCAAAAGAUGAGCCCGCACUUGAUUAGCUAGUUGGUAAGGUAAUGGCUUACCAAGGCUACGAUCAAUAGCUGAUCUGAGAGGAUGAUCAGCCACAUUGGGACUGAGACACGGCCCAGACUCCUACGGGAGGCAGCAGUGGGGAAUCUUGCACAAUGGGGGAAACCCUGAUGCAGCGAUGCCGCGUGAGUGAAGAAGGCCUUUGGGUUGUAAAGCUCUUUCGUCGGGGAAGAAAAUGACUGUACCCGAAUAAGAAGGUCCGGCUAACUUCGUGCCAGCAGCCGCGGUAAUACGAAGGGACCUAGCGUAGUUCGGAAUUACUGGGCUUAAAGAGCUCGUAGGUGGUUAGAAAAGUUGGUGGUGAAAUCCCAAGGCUUAACCUUGGAACUGCCACCAAAACUUUUUGACUAGAGUGUGAUAGAGGAAAGUGGAAUUUCUAGUGUAGAGGUGAAAUUCGUAGAUAUUAGAAGGAACACCGAUUGCGAAGGC
rnacentral:rRNA from 1 species